GGGGACGUAGCUCAGUUGGCAGAGCGCUGCCUUUGCAAGGCAGAAGUCGUGGGUUCGAUUCCCAUCGUCUCCACCG
rnacentral:tRNA from 1 species